GACGAACGCUGGCGGCGUGCUUAACACAUGCAAGUCGAACGGAAAGGCCCUGCUUUUGUGGGGUGCUCGAGUGGCGAACGGGUGAGUAACACGUGAGUAACCUGCCCUUGACUUUGGGAUAACUUCAGGAAACUGGGGCUAAUACCGGAUAGGAGCUCCUGCUGCAUGGUGGGGGUUGGAAAGUUUCGGCGGUUGGGGAUGGACUCGCGGCUUAUCAGUUUGUUGGUGGGGUAGUGGCUUACCAAGGCUUUGACGGGUAGCCGGCGUGAGUGGGUGACCGGCCACAUUGGGACUGAGAUACGGCCCCGACUCCUACGGGAGGCAGCAGUGGGGAAUAUUGCACAAUGGGCGGAAGCCUGAUGCAGCAACGCCGCGUGCGGGAUGACGGCCUUCGGGUUGUAAACCGCUUUCGCCUGUGACGAAGCGUGAGUGACGGUAAUGGGUAAAGAAGCACCGGCUAACUACGUG
rnacentral:rRNA from 1 species